rnacentral:rRNA from 1 species
GUCUACAGCCACACCACCCUGAACACAUCUCAUGUUGUCUGAUCUCGGAAGCUAAGCAGGGGCAGGCUUGGUUAGUACCUGAGUGAGAGUACUGCAAAAUAUGACGAUCUGGAUC